rnacentral:rRNA from 1 species
AGAAUCAACGCUGGCGGCGUGCCUAACACAUGCAAGUCGAACGAGAAAGUGGGAGGCAAUCCCAUUAGUAAAGUGGCGCACGGGUGAGUAACACGUGACUAACCUACCCUUGAGUGGGGGAUAACCGUAGGGAAAACCUGGGCUAAUACCGCAUAAUACCUACGGGUCAAAGGAGCAAUUCGCUUUAGGAGGGGGUCGCGGCAGAUUAGUUAGUUGGCGGGGUAAUGGCCCACCAAGACAGUGAUCUGUA